GCUAACCCUAGAGAAGCUGGCUUUCCCUCUCUGAGCACCUCCCACCGCGUCCUUAGCAACCUGCUGGUCUGCGAGCCGCGAGCCCUGGGUUUAUGAUCUGUCAACAUGCCUAACAAAUCACCUGUGAUUGGUAAAUCUGGAGUAGUAUCUUCCUCUUAUGAAAAAUUAAAGUCACCAUUUUCAAUCACAAAAGAAUUCAUCUUGAGAUUCAAUCAAACAAAAAAUCCAAAAGAGGAGGAAGAACUAUUGGACAUAGCUAGAAAAAACAUUAUCAAAU